AGAUGACGAGUAGUAGAGAACACACACAAGUAAGGGUCAUUACUCUACUCUCCAGAUAUCUGACUCUGCCUAUGUUUAGCGAUGUAUGUUCCCUAGUCCUUACCGGCAAACAUGGAUGGUGAUAUCAGUACUAAAGAGAGGUGUUUCUCUUUACUUUACACUCUUCUGCUCAUUACUUUACACUCCUUAAAUCACUCUAAAUGGAGGAGUUUCUAGUGGUGAUCAUAGAAGGCAUAUGUUAGGUUUGUGCUCCAUUGUUUAUUUGUUUUGCUGCUGCUCUUUACUUUACACUCCUUAAAUCGAUGCUUAUGUUUAACUAUGUACAUUGCUUACCUUCUGUGACGUAGAAAUGUGGAUGAACAAAGUGGGGGCGUUUCGCUGCUGUUUGAGUCCAUCUCUUAAAAGAUGUCUUCCACAUCCUUGGCUCUGAUCUGUGUCAAUGUCACUUGAUGACGUGAGGUGUUUCUAUGGUGUUUGAAUGCAUCUUCUAUGUGUAAUUAGUGAUGUUUUCUUCGACAUUAAAUGCAAAUUCUCAGUUAGCUAAUGUAUUUUCCCCCCCAUUUUGCAGCACCAGGUGCGGCCUCUACAGGGGAGGGAUCAAGUGCAUGAAGAACACAAGUUUCUGGCAGAAGGUGUUCUUAUAAAAACGAGGUGUCUAGUGGUGAUCGUAGAUGGCAUAUGUGGAUUUUGUGGCGGAAGAACUAUUUUGCGAUUCUUGAUUUCGCUGCGGGUAUUGUUCUGGUAGCCUUCAUGUUCUCUGGACCUUCCCUCAUCAUUUGUUAGUUGGUGUAAACCUUUACUUGUGCUUAUCUGUAAGAUGGUGACUCAAGAAGCACCCUACGCUCUUUUUGUGGCUUGGAAUUUGGUGGAUGAACUACUGAACGCUUUGUUUAUCGAACCUGUAUACCUGUGUCGUGGAAAUUUUAGUUACCUUAUGCAUGUCGCAUUUGCAUUGUGAAUGAUGGAAGGAAAGUGUAUGAAAGUUCAGUCUGCAGUUUUAUGCA
rnacentral:lncRNA from 1 species